GAUGAACGCUGGCGGCGUGCCUAAUACAUGCAAGUCGAGCGAAUGGAUUAAGAGCUUGCUCUUAUGAAGUUAGCGGCGGACGGGUGAGUAACACGUGGGUAACCUGCCCAUAAGACUGGGAUAACUCCGGGAAACCGGGGCUAAUACCGGAUAACAUUUUGAACCGCAUGGUUCGAAAUUGAAAGGCGGCUUCGGCUGUCACUUAUGGAUGGACCCGCGUCGCAUUAGCUAGUGGGUGAGGUAACGGCUCACCAAGGCAACGAUGCGUAGCCGACCUGAGAGGGUGAGCGGCCACACUGGGACUGAGACACGGCCCAGACUCCUACGGGAGGCAGCAGUAGGGAAUCUUCCGCAAUGGACGAAAGUCUGACGGAGCAACGCCGCGUGAGUGAUGAAGGCUUUCGGGUCGUAAAACUCUGUUGUUAGGGAAGAACAAGUGCUAGUUGAAUAGGCUGGCACCUUGACGGUACCUAACCAGAAAGCCACGGCUAACUACGUGCCAGCAGCCGCCGUAA
rnacentral:rRNA from 1 species